GAUGAACGCUAGCGGCAGGCCUAACACAUGCAAGUCGAGGGGCAGCGGGGUGUAGCAAUACACUGCCGGCGACCGGCGCACGGGUGAGUAACGCGUAUCCAACCUUCCCAUCACUCAGGGAUAGCCCGCCGAAAGGCGAAUUAAUACCUGAUGGUCUCCUUUGCAGACAUCUAACGAGGAGUAAAGAUUCAUUGGUGAUGGAUGGGGAUGCGUCUGAUUAGGUAGUAGGCGGGGUAACGGCCCACCUAGCCGACGAUCAGUAGGGGUUCUGAGAGGAAGGUCCCCCACAUUGGAACUGAGACACGGUCCAAACUCC
rnacentral:rRNA from 1 species